rnacentral:rRNA from 1 species
CCUUGUGUGCAAUGUCAGUCGAUCUUCUUUAUGGAGAUUGGCCAAACAUCAACCUAUUUUUUUAACUCUUUGUCUGAAAAAUAUUAUGAAUAAAAUAAUUCAAAAUACAACUUUCAACAACGGAUCUCUUGGCUCUCGCAUCGAUGAAGAACGCAGCGAAAUGCGAUACGUAAUGUGAAUUGCAGAAUUCAGUGAAUCAUCGAAUCUUUGAACGCAUAUUGCGCUCUUUGGUAUUCCGAAGAGCAUGCUUGUUUGAGUAUCAGUAAACACCUCAAAGCUUUUGAUUUUUUUCAAAUGUUUUGGACUUGAGCAAUCCCAACACCAAUCUUUUUUAGAUCGGCGGCGGGUUGCUUGAAAUGCAGGUGCAGCUGGACAUUCUCCUGAGCUAAAAGCAUAUUUAUUUAGUCCCGUCAAACGGAUUAUUACUUUUGCUGCAGCUAAUAUAAAGGGAGUUUGACCAUUUUGGCUGACUGAUGCAGGAUUUCACAAGGGUCGGCAACGAUUCUUGUAAAACUCGAUCUCAAAUCAAGU